rnacentral:rRNA from 1 species
AGUGAACGCUGGCGGUAGGCCUAACACAUGCAAGUCGAACGGCAGCACAGUAAGAGCUUGCUCUUACGGGUGGCGAGUGGCGGACGGGUGAGGAAUACAUCGGAAUCUACUUUUUCGUGGGGGAUAACGUAGGGAAACUUACGCUAAUACCGCAUACGACCUACGGGUGAAAGCAGGGGAUCUUCGGACCUUGCGCGAUUGAAUGAGCCGAUGUCGGAUUAGCUAGUUGGCGGGGUAAAGGCCCACCAAGGCGACGAUCCGUAGCUGGUCCGAGAGGAUGGAUCGCCCAAACUGGAACGGGGACAGGUCCCAGAUCCCAAGGGGAGGCAGCAGUGGGAAAUAUUGGACAAGGGGCGCAAGCUUGUUCCAGCCAUACGGGGUGGGUGAAGAGGGCUUUCGGGUGGUAAGCCCUUUUGUUGGGAAAGAAAAGCAGCAGGUUAAUACCCCGCUGUUCUGACGGUACCCAAAGAAUAAGCACCGGCUAACUUCGUG